rnacentral:rRNA from 2 species
GUUAUAUGGUCAAGCGAAUAAGCGCACACGGUGGAUGCCUAGGCGGUCAGAGGCGAUGAAGGACGUGGUAGCCUGCGAAAAGUGUCGGGGAGCUGGCAACAAGCUUUGAUCCGGCAAUAUCCGAAUGGGGAAACCCACUGCUUCGGCAGUAUCCUGCAGUGAAUUCAUAGCUGCUGGAAGCGAACCCGGUGAACUGAAAUAUCUAAGUAACCGGAGGAAAAGAAAUCAACCGAGAUUCCCUAAGUAGUGACGAGCGAACGGGGAACAGCCCUUAAGCUGGAAUGGCUUUAGAAAAACAAUCUGGAAAGAUUGGCCAUAGAAGGUGAUAGCCCUGUAUUUAAAAGGGCCAUUCCAGUGAAGACGAGUAGGGCGGGGCACGUGAAACCCUGUCUGAAUAUGGGGGGACCAUCCUCCAAGGCUAAAUACUCCUGACCGACCGAUAGUGAACCAGUACCGUGAGGGAAAGGCGAAAAGAACCCCGGAGAGGGGAGUGAAAUAGAUCCUGAAACCGUGUGCGUACAAGCAGUAGGAGCUCGCAAGAGUGACUGCGUACCUUUUGUAUAAUGGGUCAGCGACUUACUGUUCGUGGCAAGCUUAACCGUAUAGGGGAGGCGAAGGGAAACCGAGUCUGAUAAGGGCGCAUAGUCGCGGGCAGUAGACCCGAAACCGGGUGAUCUAGUCAUGGCCAGGGUGAAGGUGCCGUAACAGGUACUGGAGGCCCGAACCCACGUCUGUUGCAAAAGACGGGGAUGAGCUGUGAUUAGGAGUGAAAAGCUAAUCGAACCCGGAGAUAGCUGGUUCUCCUCGAAAGCUAUUUAGGUAGCGCCUCGGACGAAUACUACUGGGGGUAGAGCACUGUUAUGGCUAGGGGGUCAUCGCGACUUACCAAACCAUUGCAAACUCCGAAUACCAGUACGUACUAUCCGGGAGACACACGGCGGGUGCUAACGUCCGUCGUGAAAAGGGAAACAACCCAGACCCACAGCUAAGGUCCCAAAUUCACUGCUAAGUGGAAAACGAUGUGGAAAGGCACAGACAGCCAGGAGGUUGGCUUAGAAGCAGCCACCCUUUAAAGAAAGCGUAAUAGCUCACUGGUCGAGUCGGUCUGCGCGGAAGAUUUAACGGGGCUAAGCAGUGAACCGAAGCUUGGGGUGCAUAAAACUUGUUUUAUGCGCGGUAGAGGAGCGUUCCGUAAGCCUGCGAAGGUGGAUUGAGAAGUCUGCUGGAGGUAUCGGAAGUGCGAAUGCUGACAUGAGUAACGAUAAUGCGGGUGAAAAGCCCGCACGCCGAAAGCCCAAGGUUUCCUUGCGCAACGUUAAUCGACGCAGGGUUAGUCGGUCCCUAAGGCGAGGGCGAAAGCCGUAGUCGAUGGGAAGCAGGUUAAUAUUCCUGCACCUCGCGUGAGUGCGAUGGAGGGACGGAGAAGGUUAGGUGUACCGGGCGUUGGUUGUCCCGGGGAAAGGCGGUAGGUUUGGAUCUUUGGCAAAUCCGGGAUCCUUUAAGACCGAGCACCGAGACGAGCCUUUAUGGCGAAGUCACUGAUACCACGCUUCCAGGAAAAGCUCCUAAGCUUCAGCUCACGAAGACCGUACCGUAAACCGACACAGGUGGGUAGGAUGAGAAUUCUCAGGCGCUUGAGAGAACUCGGGUGAAGGAACUAGGCAACAUGGCACCGUAACUUCGGGAGAAGGUGCACCCUUUUUGGUGGCUCAUGCGAGCUAUAGCUGAAGAGGGUCGCAGAAACCAGGCCGCUGCGACUGUUUAUCAAAAACACAGCACUCUGCAAACACGAAAGUGGACGUAUAGGGUGUGACGCCUGCCCGGUGCUGGAAGGUUAAUUGAUGGGGUCAGCCGCAAGGCGAAGCUCUUGAUCGAAGCCCCAGUAAACGGCGGCCGUAACUAUAACGGUCCUAAGGUAGCGAAAUUCCUUGUCGGGUAAGUUCCGACCUGCACGAAUGGCGUAACGACAGCGGCGCUGUCUCCACCCGAGACUCAGUGAAAUUGAAAUCGCUGUGAAGAUGCAGCGUUCCCGUGGCAAGACGGAAAGACCCCGUGAACCUUUACUAUAGCUUUACACUGAACGUUGAGUUCGUCUGUGUAGGAUAGGUGGGAGGCUAUGAAACUGUGGCGCUAGCUGCAGUGGAGCCAUCCUUGAAAUACCACCCUGUCGUGCUUGACGUUCUAACCUAGAUCCGUUAUCCGGAUCAGGGACCGUGUAUGGUGGGUAGUUUGACUGGGGCGGUCUCCUCCUAAAGAGUAACGGAGGAGCACGAAGGUACGCUCAGCGCGGUCGGACAUCGCGCACUGUGUGCAAAGGCAUAAGCGUGCUUGACUGCAAGAUCGACGGAUCAAGCAGGUACGAAAGUAGGUCUUAGUGAUCCGGUGGUUCUGUAUGGAAGGGCCAUCGCUCAACGGAUAAAAGGUACUCCGGGGAUAACAGGCUGAUACCGCCCAAGAGUUCAUAUCGACGGCGGUGUUUGGCACCUCGAUGUCGGCUCAUCACAUCCUGGGGCUGUAGUCGGUCCCAAGGGUAUGGCUGUUCGCCAUUUAAAGUGGUACGCGAGCUGGGUUCAGAACGUCGUGAGACAGUUCGGUCCCUAUCUGCCAUGGGCGUUGGAAGUUUGAGAGGGGCUGCUCCUAGUACGAGAGGACCGGAGUGGACGAACCUCUGGUGUUCCGGUUGUCACGCCAGUGGCAUUGCCGGGUAGCUAUGUUCGGAAGCGAUAACCGCUGAAAGCAUCUAAGCGGGAAGCGCGCCUCAAGAUGAGACUUCCCGGGGCACAAGCCCCCUAAAGGAACCAUAUAGACUAUGUGGUUGAUAGGUCAGGUGUGUAAGUACAGCAAUGUAUUGAGCUAACUGAUACUAAUGAUCCGUGCGGCUUGACCAUAUAACCUCA